UACGGAGGAUCCAAGCGUUAUCCGGAUUUAUUGGGUUUAAAGGGUGCGUAGGUGGUUUUUUAAGUCAGGGGUGAAAGACGGCAGCUUAACUGUCGCAGUGCCUUUGAUACUGAAGAACUUGAAUUAACUAGAGGUAGGCGGAAUGUGACAAGUAGCGGUGAAAUGCAUAGAUAUGUCACAGAACACCAAUUGCGAAGGCAGCUUACUAUGGUUUUAUUGACACUGAGGCACGAAAGCGUGGGGAUCAAACAGG
rnacentral:rRNA from 1 species